GAUGAACGCUGGCGGCGUGCUUAACACAUGCAAGUCGAGCGGAUGACGGGAGCUUGCUCCUUGAUUCAGCGGCGGACGGGUGAGUAAUGCCUAGGAAUCUGCCUGGUAGUGGGGGACAACGUUUCGAAAGGAACGCUAAUACCGCAUACGUCCUACGGGAGAAAGCAGGGGACCUUCGGGCCUUGCGCUAUCAGAUGAGCCUAGGUCGGAUUAGCUAGUUGGUGGGGUAAUGGCUCACCAAGGCGACGAUCCGUAACUGGUCUGAGAGGAUGAUCAGUCACACUGGAACUGAGACACGGUCCAGACUCCUACGGGAGUCAGCAGUGGGGAAUAUUGGACAAUGGGCGAAAGCCUGAUCCAGCCAUGCCGCGUGUGUGAAGAAGGUCUUCGGAUUGUAAAGCACUUUAAGUUGGGAGGAAGGGCAGUAAGUUAAUACCUUGCUGUUUUGACGUUACCGGCAGAAUAAGCACCGGCUAACUCUGUGCCAGCCGCCGCAGUAA
rnacentral:rRNA from 1 species